GACGACUUUCCUCUCGAGAGCCGACGGGGCCAGCUGGGAUACUCCGGGACGCCUGAAAAAGGCGCUGGGCGGGCUCUCGCCCGUUUCGCGGAACGCCGGGAAGGGGUCACUUCCAGAUGAAGGUUCCGGUUCCGGUGUCGGCGGCUGUUGCAUUGCCAUGGCAACCCGGUUGGCUGGCGCGUGGUGCCAGCAUUCCGGGAGGUGGUGGGACUAGGGCAAGCCGGCGUCCCCCUCUGCCAGCCUAGGUGCUGGUUGCGAGGCGCUGUACCGGCGCAGAAUCUUCUGGGAGACCUGAUGCCCAAAGCUUGGAAUCAGCGUGAGAAAUGAGAAGCAGAUACAAACCCGUGUGGCAGUACAGAGGAGAGAAAGAAAGCUUCCUUAGGCCAGUUGCUUGCUCUGUUCUCCAUUGUAGUUGUCAUUGUUUGACAUAUGUUGUAUUUACUCGCUUGUUUGUUGACGUCUCUCCCAGGCACUCGACGUUAUUCACUGCUGUAUCCUCAGUGCCUAGGACAGUGCUUGGAACGUGAUUCAUUGAUUCCUAAAUCAGAGGAACAAGCAUCAUGAACAGAAAUAUAUAGAAAAUGCUGUUAUGUUGAAGCAUAACUUGUUUCAGAAGUCCAGCAUCUGGUGCACUUAACAAGAGAGCAUAUAUUAAAUUCUUU